GAGCAGAGGGGCAAGGGGUGGGUGGUGGGGGAAUGACCGUAAUGUCUGUGGGUUGCAGGUACAGGUGGCUGCGAGUGUGAAGGUUGUCAUGGAAGGGCUUCGGAGAGAAAACUAGAAAAGGCCGAAACCCGGCUAGAACUGAACUUGGGAGCUGGAAGAUGUGGUUCCCAAGCAACUCUCCAUCAUUCUUCAGCAGUCCUGGCUAACUGAUGUUGUCUUGGUGGACUGGAGCCUGGCAAACACAUCCUCAGAAAGGGCUGGAAAGAUGAUCCUGGUAGCUACAAACCUAGUCUCACCCUGGUGCUGGGGAAGGUUAUGGAAUGGAUAAUCUUGGGAGCCAUCGUGGACCCAAUAAAGGUAAACCAGGGAUCAGGCCCAGUCAACAUGGGUUUACAUAUGGUAGAUCCUGUCUGACAAACCUGAUUCCAUUCUCUGACAAGGUGAUCUGCUUAGUGGAUGAAGUCAAGGCUAUCGAUGUGGUCUACCUGGACUUCAAUAAAGCAUUUGACACGCUCCCCCCCAGCAUCCUUGUGGAGAAGCUGGAUGCCCACAGUUUGGAUGGGUGUAUGCUCCACUGGGUGAAACACUGGCUGGAUGGCAGGGCCCAAAGAGUUGUGGUCAAUGAAGUUAAAUCCAGCUGGUGGCUGGUCACAUAAAGGAGCUGCGUUGUCACAACGAUGUCAUGCCACCAUGACACUUCGUUGUGAUGUAUUUGGCUUAUGGCAGCUGUGUGAGCAGAGUCAGAGUGCAAUGUGGCUUCCCUGGCCUACUUCAGGUCUCUCUGGUUCUGCCUGUGAUGCCAAGGGCUGGUGAAUAUCAGUUGUCACCUGGCUCCGGCUCUGGCUCAUGUGGGCAUUGUCAGUCCAGAUUUCCAUGUGGGUGGUGGUGGCAUGAAUUUGUCUUCUGGUUGACUGGGCUCUUAAAUUCAGAGACAAAUGUUGCCUUAAGUCCAAAAACAUGUACAGAAACAUUACAUCUUGAGUUGAAAAGGAUAAAAGAACUUGUAAUAUAUUCCAGAGAUGCGAUACAAGAAAAUGCUUGUGCUAUGAUGAGCUGAGUUUACCCUUUGGCCAGCACAACACAGGCCUGAAGGCUGUACUGAACACAUACUACAGCACAGAUCUGCACUUAUUGAAGCCUACUGUUGUAUGAGUCACCAGCUCAUCUGUAUACAGUAGUGUCCUGGCCUGGAUCACUGCAUUCCGCACUUUGAUCCACAUAUCCACAUUUCCCAAAGAUGCUGUAAGUUACAGACUGUAUUAAUAACAUUCAGGCUUCUUCAACCCAAAGUAUAAGGCCUAGUGGACAUAGUCUAAGUGAUGAACUCUUGUGAAGCACCAAAAAAAUUUCUCUGGGCAUGUUUCAUCUCUGUGUUAUUCCUCAAUAUCUUAGUUUCAGUUUGGAUGGAAUUGUUUUUUUCAAUUUCUGGUAUGAUGCUAUCUAUGUUUUGGUUCUAGGAGAAAAACAAUGUUGAUAACAUACCAAUGUUUAUAGUUUCUCCUAAGCACUGUUAUAUGGAGCCAAGGCCAUUCUCAGCAAAGGGCUCAAGGAGGUGGAACAGAAUUAGAACAGCUCUGUUAAACCAUCCAGAGGAUAUUCCAUACCAUAUGACAUCAAGAGGGAGGAGUUCUGAAGGGGGUGGGAGUUCAUCUCUCUUCCACUGCUUGGGGGCUAGAUGGGCAUUGGUUGGGGAGUAGUGAGAAACUGCUUGUGCAUCACUUGUCACAUAUGUUUCUGUCUAUAUUCAUUUGUCAUAAUUGUUAUCAUUUUCUUUUUCUCUAUCUUAGUAAAUAGCUUUAUCUCCACCUGUGAGUUCUACUUUAUUUUUUUUCUUCCAAUUAUUUUUCCCACCUCAGUGGGAGGUAGAGGAUUGAGUGAACAACUGUGUGAUGCUCAGCCAUCUGCCCUGUUAAACCACAGCAGUCAUUUUGGCACCCAGCGUGGGGCCUGGAGGGAUUGGAGUAACCACAGAAUUGAUUGUGUCAUGGCACCUGCAAAGCCAUCUGUCAAAAAAAGUCAGAACAAAUACAGGGCUUUGCACAGGAGUUGGAGCAGCCACAGUGCUCCAAGUAGGGAGUGGAGCAGCCACAGGGCUGUACCUCUGGGCAUAUAGCAUCUCCCUGUGGAGGAAUUUUCUUGCUUUUUCUCAUCACAAUACAUGAAACAGACACAGGACCCGUAAAAGGAGCACCUGCCUGGCUCAACAUGGAGGUUGGAGUCACAGAAAGUCCCAGCCUUUUUGGAAGAUAUGAUGUACAUAUUCAAAAGAAUGUUCAGAUGGGUAACAUAACAUAUUUUCUGUUUGCUGUACAUCCAACAGUGUAGCUAUGACCAGGUGAGCUGCUAUUAAACCAUCAAUAAACUUAGUAUCCUUGAGAUCCUGAGUACCUCUGGAUCAUCAUUUCCUGGAUGGAGCUGAGGGUACAUAGUUGCUCACAGUAAUCAGCAAUUUCUCUGGUACAAAGAAGGCUCUACAUUCAGGGAAGGAGCAGACACAGCAGGAGUCCCACAGUGGCUGGGCAGGAAGGCUGAUGAGGGUGGCCAGGGUCAGCCACAGCUAUCCCCAGUGAUGUGCUGAGUCUGGAUGCAGGCAAAAGUCAAUCCUGCAUAUCUUAAGAUCUAACCAGGAAUGGGGAAGGAUGCAUUGUAGCUCAGUGAGGCUUAGCAUGUGGGUUGUGCUGGCAUGCAGCUCCUGAACCUGUGCCAGGGAGCUUGGGGACGUGUUCAGAUCCUCAGGAGAGGGGAAAGGCCCUGAUGCCUGCUGCAUGUUGCAUGAGGAAAUUUUCUUUCUACUCCUUCAGUAUUUCUGUCAUUUCUCUUACAUUUGAGUGACACCACUAAGUCAUUUAUCUGUCUGAGCGAUCUCCUGUUACUUACACAUUUACUGGUUUAUUAAUCUGACUUUGGAUUUGAUCACAUGAGAAUGAAAACUGUAAGAAGAUUUUGACUAGUAAGACAUGACUGUGGCUAAUAUAAAGGGAUCUGAAGAAGCUUUUAAUAUUGCGUGGGUUCGUUUUAAGUAUUUCCUUUCUGUAUUUUGUGGUCUGUUACUCUUGAAAAGUUCUCAUUUGGUUCCAGUGCUCCUGUCUGUAAAGCUGCCAUCGGCUUUGGGAAUUAUGUGGAAUUUCCGAAGAGUUUGGCCAUGAGCAAAUGUGCUUGUCGUCUUGUAAGAAACAUUUAAAAUAUCCUAAUACCAAAUUGAUUUUUGAACAAAACUUGCACAGUCUAUCCCAAAAUUAACUUAGAUAAUUGUUUUCAAUACCUUAUAAAAAUUGCUGAUUACAUGAAGCAUUUAGAAAGAUCUUCAGCUUCUGUAAACAAAAGUAGUUCUGCUGAGGUCUGUUUAACAUCUGUAUCCUUUCCUGUAACCUUAGAAAUGCAUUUGCAUAUUUCAGAGAUCUCGGGGCUUGAAGUGCAUAAUAACACAGGUGCACGUGGGAAUUGCCAUGCUAGGUGUUCCUUCUCUAUGGCCAAAAGCUUGAAUAAAGUAGUGGACAGGAUCUAAUUUUACUCAUAGCACCACUUCCUGACAUUCUGAAUAUGAGAUCAAAGACACAUUAUGGUUCAAAACUAACAUGAGAAGUAAUUUUUAAUGUUAAACUUUGGGCCACUGUUCAGAUGCUAAUUGCAAUAUUUUUUUUAUCCAAUUUCAGAGGUGGGAAACUCAAUGAAAGGAGGGAAAAAAGCUACAUAUAGCAUUACAACAAAACUACAGUAAAAUACAGUGGAGACAGCAACCUGGGAUCUGUGUAUCACAGCGCGCAUCACACAGUAUGUGCGAAGAUGUCUGAAUAUGGAGUCUGGUGCCUACUGGGAAGCCUGUAGCCACAGAAGGAAAAAUCUGCAGAGAUUCAGAAGGGACCUUCCUUCAUCAUAAACAUGAGCAGGAGCGCAGAAAUCUAGACUUGGUGGAGACUACAGUUCUUCUGCAUGCCCGACAUGGUCUCUUUUGCAGUAUGUAGACUUGGUGCUGCUAGACAAUUGUUCAUUUACCAGAAAUUAUUAAAUCAGGAGUAAAGAAAACAAAUCCUGUCUUCACAGCCUUCUGAAUAAAACACAGCAAAUAAAUGUGUAUGUGCAGGUAUAUAUUUUGUAAAACUGUGUUAUCAUGGAUUUAGCUUGUAAGUUAAUAACCAUCUUGGGAUAAAAUCCUUUCUGAACACCUUCAUGAUUGGAAGUGGUUCUUCCUUUCCUUUCAUGGAUCCUGAAAAGUGAAUGUACAUUCAGGAUCAGGCCCUCUGUGGCAUUUCUUCAAAGCUACUGCUGUGUCACUUGUGUAAUUAUGAAAAGGAAGUAAUGAGUCUGAAUAGACACAAAGCUUAUAUAAAGUAAUAAGGAUUUCCAGAAGAAACUUGGGAAGGAUAAUUCAAAUCUUCUCAAAAGAAGAAAGGCAAGGAGAUGGAGAGAAAAUAGAAAUAUUCCAACUGAAGUGGUGAGUUUCUUUUUUUUUUUUCUUUUUUAACUGUGUUGAUUGCUUGUCUUGAUCCUACUGUGCCAAACUAAAGUGUGAUGACUCAAACACAGAAUUUU